rnacentral:lncRNA from 1 species
UGGAGCAGGGCAGAAUUAGGCGUUCUACCAUCCUGGGAGUCCUUGCAGUAAUCGCGGCAGCAAUCCACACAGCUGCUCCUCCUCUAAUCCUCGCUGCAGCCCAGUGACAGCUCAGGUGCAAGGAACGAAGACUUAAUCAGACUGGUGUGGCAGCUGGCCUGACUUAGAAAUCUCAUACCCAUCAGGAGCCAGUAUUUCUUGUAACAACUUCACCGGCUUAGCUUCCAGGAGCCCCAGCAGAGCCCAGUUAAAGCCUUCACCCUCAGGGAAGCCCAAGGCCAUCAGGUCUCUAUAGUGCGCCAGGCCAGACGCAAUUUACCAGCCACGUGAUUGCUUUCAUCUAAAUACGUUUGCCUGACGACAUAGUUGACAUUCUAUAUUACGUUUCAGAGAAACAGAUAAGAAAGUAAACUGAAGGUCAAAUUGUCAUGCAGUAGAGUAAUUACAUUCCAUUUUAAAGAUAAUAUAAUUUACAGUGAGAUUUAAAGAACCACAAAUACAUAGGCUACCUUCUUCUACUACAAGCUUUACAAAGCCUUUCAUUGUCCAUGAGGCAACUUGGUGUGAAUUAGAAAAAGACACCAAACUCAAGGCUUGAAGAAUGGAUGCCAACUCUACAAUUCAUCUGGAAGAGCUGUUGAGGAAGGACGCCCAGAUUUGGAAAAGAAGAGCAAAGGAAGCAACAUGCAUUUUUAAUAUCCAUGAGGGAAAAAAAACCCUUGGGAUUCGCAUUGGGAUUGUGUUAAAUAUACAGAUUAAUUUGGAGGGAAUUGACAUUUUGUUUAACACUGGAUCUCUUUUAUAUGAUCAUAGAACUUAUCUAUUCAUAUUUUCUUUUUUGCCCUUUAAUAAAGUUUCAGAGUUUUCUUCAUGUAGAGCUUACACAUUUCUUACGUUUACCUCCAGAUGUUUCUUAGGUUUGGCUGCUGUUGUGAAUAGAGUUUUUUUCUAUUUUUCAAAGCUGUUGAUUUAUUCCAUGUUAAUCUUUAAUCCACUCAUUUCACUGAUCUCUCGUACUAGUUCUAAUGGCUUUUACUUGAGAUAAAUUCCACACAUAUAUUAAAUAUAUAAUGCAAUCAGUUUUGAUAAAUCUAUACACUUGUGAAACAAGACCCUCUCAAGAUAGUUCUAAUAGUUAUCUUUUAAAGAAGAUUUUCUAGGAUUUCUUAAACUGUAAUAUAUUGUCAGCUAAUAAUGACAGUUUUCUUUCUUCUUUUCUAAUAUAACUCAUUUAUGUUUCUUAUUGAAUUUCAUCGCCUGAGACCUCCAGUCCAAUGGUAAUUGUAGUAGGAAUAGCUAGUAUCCUCGUAUUUUUAUGGGAAAGUUUCCAAUGUUCCACCAUAUAGGAGAUAUUCUUUGUCAAAUUAAGAAAAUUUUGUUCUUAGUUUGCUAAGAAUACUAUCAGGAAUGGCUCUUCAAUUUUAUCAAAUGCAUCUGUGAAGAUAAUCAUGAGUAUUUUCUUCUUUAAUUUAUUAUUGCAGUAAAUUACAAUAAUAGAUUUGCUAAUGAGCUGUCUUGCAUUCUUGGGAUUAAACCCUAUGGAGUCGUAAUUGUCUUAAUAUACUGCUGGAUUCAAUUUGUUAAUAUUUCCUUUAGAAAUUUUGUUCCUACAGUCCCAAGUUACGUUGGCUCAGAGUUUCAUUUUCUUGUGCUCUCCUUUUCUGGUAUCAGUGUUAUUUCAAACUCUUAAAAAUAAUUUACGUAGCUUUACAUCUGUUUCUAGGUUCUGGAUACAUCUGUAAAAGGUGGAAAUUAUUCCUUGAAGAUUUGCUAAAAUUCGUCCUAAAAGCCACAUGGAACUUCUUUAGAGUUAAAUUUUCAGUUACUUCUUAGAUUUCUUUUAUCAUUGCUUUUGGGAU